GUAGUUAGUAUUUACGUGGUUCCUGUUCAUAGAUGAGGUAACACUUUCCCCCUCUUUCUCCCUAGUCACAACACUGUCGCUCCUGUAGAAGUAGGUAUCGAGAAGGGGCUCAAUACUUUGUCCCGGUACGCGAAGGUGGACACUCCACGUCUUGUUUGUUUAGGGCUCACCGCUACUACAACUCGGCCGCUUCUAGUGGCCAUCACCGAAGCGAUGUCGACGGCGGCCACUGUUGAGAAGACAAAGAUACCCAGAAUUCGACACCCGUACGUUGUCGUUUGUGACUAUAUCGAUUGUACUGCCGUGAGGUCUUUGUACAGAGAAAAAAGCUGGCAUUGUUCCUACCGUAGUAAUGAGGAUAUCUUUGUAAACUUCCAUUAACACGAAUUGACGAAUACGUUUUUUAGAGAUUUCUUUACAGUAACAACUCUCAAACACCUCGAUUAUCUGAGUGUACACAGACGUAAAGAAAAUUGUCUUUCGUACAAAUGACAAACACCUCGUCUUAAAUUGUGUCGAUCUACUGAACAUUUAUUAUAUCUUUCGUUUAAGUCUUCGAGAUGAACACGGCGUAUCGGGAUUCUUUUUUAGAUUCCGUACAAUUCAAUUAAGGAAACGGCACAAACAUAGAAGAACUAAAACUGAUUGAUAUGAACCUUGUUCCCGAUUGUAUAGAAAGGAAGAUCGUGUUGAUACUGUACAUAUAAUUGAUUAAUACCAGACCACUACAAUUUUUUAUUUUAGUUAAAAUGUACACGGAUUUAAUGGUUACAUACCAGGUACACAAUUGAUUGAACAAUGAAGCUCUAAAGAGUCCAUCAUACGAUCACCGGUACCACACAAAACCUAACUCCGUAUCUCUGAAUGGAAAGUUCCACGUCAUUCCCGUGUUUGGUGACUAAUCGCACCGCCAAUCUCGAUCGAAUUAGAGGAAAAUACAAAUAACCAUUAAACUACCGUUUAUAUAUUUAUUCGAAUCUCCCUAAAGUUUUUCCUUUCGAAAUCGGCUGAAACUUCCUAUUCCCUUCUUGAUUGUUUGAACUUUUAUUCGAUUUGUCUGACUACGAUAGGACUAAACUCUUAACUUCUCUGAACUACUACCACCGGGUACGAGGAAUAGGAACACCACUCCCUAUAUACGACCCAGGGUACACGGUCUUCGGGUCUUGAUAUAGAUAAUAAUACUGUUAUAUAAAAUAGAACAUCCUAAACAACGUUAACCAACACUACAACGUAUAAGAUCUCUGAGACGGAGGAGGCACGUACGACGGGAACCAGGAUAUUGUUCGGGCCAUACUGAUGGAGUUUGUACGUACACGCGUGUGUCUGUUACUUGAACUAUAAAAACACAAGUUAAGUCCAACUACGUGGUAACGGGGUGUAAUUAUAAGUGUAUUUGGAUUAGGUAUCUCGUUACGUACCUUCACUAUGUCCACGUAAUCUACGGUUUCCUUCCAUUAAGUUUAGUGGAUGAAUACAUACACGUAUAGACCAUGUAUAAUGGUACGUAUGACAUUUCAUUUUCUUUGUACCUUCACUAUGUCCAUGUAAAAAUAAUUAAAUAAGUUUAGAUAUGUAUAUGACUUGUACAGUUCGACAUCCAAACAAGGGGUUUUUAAACUCCUUUAUAAGUAUUUCGUACGUUUUCAAUCUGGUCUACGCGACUGUAGGAGCCUCCACCUCCUCUACUAGGAUCGUUUAGCUCUAGGUGAUCUGGCAGCUAGUACCAUUAAAAGUAACCUUCAACCAAUAAACAAUUGACGUAAGAACUCUUGGUAAGCUCCGCACGUUGUACUAAGAUAGUGCAUCCGAGAGCACGGUUGAUUUCUUUACAAAGGAAACCUUAUCGUACAUUUUUAGUUACCUCCCUAGUUUAAAAUUCAAUACCUAAAAUUUAAGCUGAUUCAAAAGAAUAUUUAUAUCCGACCGCGGACAUUUUCUCACCCCCGACUGUAUGUUCGAACGUUCACUAUUCCUACCAAAAGAAGUGUUCCUAUCACAUUCUCCAUAUAUACUACCUUCACACAAGCAGUUCAACCUCCUUUUCUCCAGAGAAGUCUAACUUUAUACUGCGCGAUAUGGUAACACACAAAACGUGUUGUAAACCCCUUGGAUCCACCAGUAUAUCAACAGUUUAUACUAUAUAUAACAAGUUCACAUAAACUGGUGCACAUUAAUAACCUAAAAAAAACAUUCCUUUGUAUCACACAGUUGAUCGACCAUCUUAUGCCUAUACAUGACAAUGCGUUACACAAAUGCAAUAGUCAACGUACAGUUAACAUUUGAUGUUAACAAAUAACGUGGCCGCAGAAUCGAUAUCAAUCGAACUAGUUCAUGGUAAAAGUUAGGUAUAGGAUGGUGUAAGUGUGGACGAGAGUAAAUGUAUAGGAAUACAGUAGG
rnacentral:rRNA from 1 species